rnacentral:rRNA from 1 species
AGAGUUUGAUCCUGGCUCAGGAUGAACGCUGGCGGCGUGCUUAACACAUGCAAGUCGAACGGAAAGGCCCAAGCUUGCUUGGGUACUCGAGUGGCGAACGGGUGAGUAACACGUGGGUGAUCUGCCCUGCACUUCGGGAUAAGCCUGGGAAACUGGGUCUAAUACCGGAUAGGACGAUGGUUUGGAUGCCAUUGUGGAAAGUUUUUUCGGUGUGGGAUGAGCUCGCGGCCUAUCAGCUUGUUGGUGGGGUAAUGGCCUACCAAGGCGUCGACGGGUAGCCGGCCUGAGAGGGUGUACGGCCACAUUGGGACUGAGAUACGGCCCAGACUCCUACGGGAGGCAGCAGUGGGGAAUAUUGCACAAUGGGCGCAAGCCUGAUGCAGCGACGUCGCGUGGGGGAUGACGGCCUUCGGGUUGUAAACUCCUUUCGCUAGGGACGAAGCGUUUUGUGACGGUACCUGGAGAAGAAGCACCGGCUAACUACGUG